GACAGAGGGUGCAAACGUUGCUCGGAAUCACUGGGCGUAAAGGGCGUGUAGGCGGGAAAGUAAGUCGGGCGUGAAAUCCCUAGGCUCAACCUAGGAACUGCACUCGAAACUACUUUUCUAGAGUGCCGGAGAGGAAAGCGGAAUUCCUGGUGUAGAGGUGAAAUUCGUAGAUAUCAGGAGGAACACCAGUGGCGAAGGCGGCUUUCUGGACGGUAACUGACGCUGAGACGCGAAAGCGUGGGGAGCAAACAGG
rnacentral:rRNA from 1 species